UGCAGUCGAGCGAUGGAUUAAGAGCUUGCUCUUAUGAAGUUAGCGGCGGACGGGUGAGUAACACGUGGGUAACCUGCCCAUAAGACUGGGAUAACUCCGGGAAACCGGGGCUAAUACCGGAUAAUAUUUUGAACCGCAUGGUUCGAAAUUGAAAGGCGGCUUCGGCUGUCACUUAUGGAUGGACCCGCGUCGCAUUAGCUAGUUG
rnacentral:rRNA from 1 species